GAUGAACGCUAUCGGCAGGCUUAAUACAUGCAAGUCGAGGGGCAGCAUGGUUGUAGCAAUACAAUUGAUGGCGACCGGCAAACGGGUGCGGAACACGUACACAACCUUCCAACAAGUGGGGGAUAGCCCAGAGAAAUUUGGAUUAAUACCCCGUAACAUAGCGAUGUGGCAUCACAUUGCUAUUAUAGAUUUUUCGCUUGUUGAUGGGUGUGCGGCUGAUUAGAUAGUUGGCGGGGUAACGGCCCACCAAGUCUACGAUCAGUAGCUGAUGUGAGAGCAUGAUCAGCCACACGGGCACUGAGACACGGGCCCGACUCCUACGGGAGGCAGCAGUAAGGAAUAUUGGACAAUGGACGCAAGUCUGAUCCAGCCAUGCCGCGUGAAGGAUUAAGGUCCUCUGGAUUGUAAACUUCUUUUAUAAGGGACGAAAAAAGGCUUUUCUAAGUCGUCUGACGGUACCUUAUGAAUAAGCACCGGCUAACUCCGUGCCAGCAGCCGCAGUAAAAC
rnacentral:rRNA from 1 species